rnacentral:rRNA from 1 species
UACAGAGGUCUCAAGCGUUGUUCGGAUUCAUUGGGCGUAAAGGGUGCGUAGGUGGCGCCGUAAGUCAGGUGUGAAAUUUCGGAGCUUAACUCCGAAACUGCAUUUGAUACUGCGGUGCUUGAGGACUGGAGAGGAGACCGGAAUUUACGGUGUAGCAGUGAAAUGCGUAGAGAUCGUAAGGAAGACCAGUGGCGAAGGCGGGUCUCUGGACAGUUCCUGACACUGAGGCACGAAGGCCAGGGGAGCAAACGGG